ACGCUAUAGCUCUAGCUUCAUCUUUUGUCGGUUGAUGGUAUUGAUGAGAAUUUGAGAGUCCGAAAGAACUGAGAUCAGAUGGUAUCGAUUCCGCGAGAGAGGGAAAAUAUUAUGGCUGUACAAACGGCCAAGGCUUCUGCCGUAAGGGGCAACAGAACAAAUUAUGAAGUCGAUGAGUGCUGGGAGGAGGAAACCAGAUCAUCAAUGAUCGAACCAAAUCCUGCAAACCCCGUUGAGGAGUUCCCUGCUGCAUCUGUGUACACAGAGCAUAGUCCAGAUCGCCUAAGGUUUGGUUCAAUUCUGAUCAACGUUUCGGAGGAAAAGUACUUGGAGGGGCUUGAGCCAACAUCCAUUCUCUAGCGUCAGAGAUUGCCUUUUGCAGAGUCUCUUCAGGUGUGAAAUCUCUCUUUUGGAAGAUAAGCUGACUGUUUCCCAGCCUUCUCGAGUAGACGUGAAGGCGUUGGCUCUGAUUGCGCUUGUCACCAGUGCUAGCUCCCAGAUUUUUGUAGCAUAGGGGCAGUUGAAUGGAAGGUGCGUAACUGAUUCUACUGCAUUACGUCGCGAGCAGAGGGUAGUAACUGGGAUGUUACGGAUAGGAAAUUGUUCUCCUACUGGUAGGACGCCAUGUAGAGAUUUCCAGAUGAAGAUUUUAGCAUUUUCAGAUGUUUUGAUGUUCAGGGGUGAUAGAUGAUUCUGUGGGAGUUGCAUUGAGUUUAUCUUCCAUUAGAGUCAGGGGAGAAUAAUCUCAAUUUACAUUCCAUUCCGAUUAUCCCGGCAGGAGGAGGUCUGAGACUUUGAGAGAUAGAUAGGCUUCAGGUGCUGGUCUAAAGGGUCGGAGUUGUUCACAGUGAGAGAGCCAUGAAUCAUCCCAGACAUUAAUCGAGUUUCCAGUUCCAACCAUCCAGCCUAGUUGUUCAACAAGGAGAUACCUGCCUAUCAAGACGCUUCUCCAACCAAGAGAUGAAGAUGAGGCUGUCUUAACUUUUAAGAAGGAUUCCAAAUGAGCUAGGAGGCAUGUUGGGUUCUUCAGAAUACACCAUCCUAUCUUUUCUAGUAGAACAUCAUUGGAGAAGAUGAUAUCUUUAAAACCCAGACCUCCAUUUUUAUUUUGGUUUUACCUUUUUUUUCCAAGAGAUCCAAAGACAUUUUAUGCUUAUCAGGUUCAGAGUCCCACCAUAAUCUUGUCAACGUAGAUUGGAUCCAAGAGAGUAUGAAUCCAUUUCUUGAUGGUGUUUUUCCUU